UACGGAGGAGGCAAGCGUUAUCCGGAAUUACUGGGCGUAAAGCGUCCGCAGGCGGCACCUCAAGUCUGCUGUCAAAGACCGGGGCUUAACCCCAGAAAGGCAGUGGAAACUGAAGUGCUAGAGUGCAGUAGGGGUAGAGGGAAUUCCCGGUGUAGCGGUGAAAUGCGUAGAGAUCAGGAAGAACACCGGUGGCGAAAGCGCUCUGCUAGGCCGCAACUGACGCUGAGGGACGAAAGCUAGGGGAGCGAAUGGG
rnacentral:rRNA from 1 species